rnacentral:ncRNA from 1 species
AUAGUCGGGCUUGAUUGGGAACAAUAACAUGGUUUAUGUGCUCGUUCUGGGUAAAUAGAGUUUCUAGCAUUUAUGUUAGUUACUUGUUCCCCGGAUAGUUUAGUUACGUAGCCAAUUGUGGAACUUUCUUGCUAAAAUUUUUAAGAAUACUAUUUGGGUUAAACCAAUUAGUUCUUAUCAAUUAUAACGAUUAUCAAUUAACAAUCAAUUCAGAACUGGCACGGACUUGGGGAAUCCGACUGUCUAAUUAAAACAAAGCAUUGUGAUGGCCCUAGCGGGUGUUGACACAAUGUGAUUUCUGCCCAGUGCUCUGAAUGUCAAAGUGAAGAAAUUCAAGUAAGCGCGGGUCAACGGCGGGAGUAACUAUGACUCUCUUAAGGUAGCCAAAUGCCUCGUCAUCUAAUUAGUGACGCGCAUGAAUGGAUUAACGAGAUUCCUACUGUCCCUAUCUACUAUCUAGCGAAACCACAGCCAAGGGAACGGGCUUGGAAUAAUUAGCGGGGAAAGAAGACCCUUUUGAGCUUGACUCUAAUCUGGCAGUGUAAGGAGACAUAAGAGGUGUAGAAUAAGUGGGAGAUAUUAGACCUCGGUUUGGUAUCGUCAAUGAAAUACCACUACUCUUAUUGUUUCCUUACUUACUUGAUUAAAUGGAACGUGUAUCAUUUCCUAGCCAUUAUACGGAUAUAUUUAUUAUAUCUUAUGGUAUUGGGUUUUGAUGCAAGCUUCUUGAUCAAAGUAUCACGAGUUUGUUAUAUAAUCGCAAACAAAUUCUUUAAUAAAACGAUGCAUUUAUGUAUUUUUGAUUUGAAAAUUUGGUAUAACUCCAAUUACUCAGGUAUGAUCCAAUUCAAGGACAUUGCCAGGUAGGGAGUUUGACUGGGGCGGUACAUCUCUCAAAUAAUAACGGAGGUGUCCCAAGGCCAGCUCAGUGCGGACAGAAACCACACAUAGAGCAAAAGGGCAAAUGCUGACUUGAUCUCGGUGUUCAGUACACACAGGGACAGCAAAAGCUCGGCCUAUCGAUCCUUUUGGUUUAAAGAGUUUUUAACAAGAGGUGUCAGAAAAGUUACCAUAGGGAUAACUGGCUUGUGGCGGCCAAGCGUUCAUAGCGACGUCGCUUUUUGAUCCUUCGAUGUCGGCUCUUCCUAUCAUUGUGAAGCAAAAUUCACCAAGCGUUGGAUUGUUCACCCAUGCAAGGGAACGUGAGCUGGGUUUAGACCGUCGUGAGACAGGUUAGUUUUACCCUACUAAUGACAAAACGUUGUUGCGACAGCAUUCCUGCGUAGUACGAGAGGAACCGCAGGUACGGACCAAUGGCACAAUACUUGUUCGAGCGAACAGUGGUAUGACGCUACGUCCGUUGGAUUAUGCCUGAACGCCUCUAAGGUCGUAUCCGUGCUGGACUGCAAUGAUAAAUAAGGGGCAAUUUGCAUUGUAUGGCUUCUAAACCAUUUAAAGUUUAUAAUUUAUUUUAUAAACGACAAUGGAUGUGAUGCCAAUGUAAUUUGUAACAUAGUAAAUUAGGAGGAUCUUCGAUCACCUGAUGCCGCGCUAGUUACAUAUAAAAGCAUUAUUUAAUACAAUGACAAAGCCUAGAAUCAAUUGUAAACGACUUUUGUAACAGGCAAGGUGUUGUAAGUGGUUGAGCAGCUG